UACGGGGGGGGCUAGUGUUACUCAUCAUUACUGGGCGUAAAGCGUGCGCAGGCGGUCCGCAAAGUCUGAUGUGAAAGCCCCGGGCUCAACCUGGGAACUGCAUUGGAAACUAACGGGCUCGAGUGUGGCAGAGGGGGGUGGGAAUUCCACGUGUAGCAGUGAAAUGCGUAGAGAUGUGGAGGAACACCGAUGGCGAAGGCAGCCCCCUGGGCUAACACUGACGCUCAGGCACGAAAGCGUGGGGAGCAAACAGG
rnacentral:rRNA from 1 species